rnacentral:lncRNA from 1 species
CUCUGCUUGCUCACUGGGGUAUUUCAUGGCACUGUCAUCCAUUGGUUCGGAACGGUUUGUACACUCUUAAAAAUAAAGAAUCCAAAGGGGGUUUCGCAGCAAUGAAAUUCAGGAACCAUUUUGUGUUCCCUAAAGAACCUUUCAUGGAACAGUUCUGAAAAUAACUUUUUUUCUUAAUCUUCUUCUUCUUAGUGUGAAGAACUACACUCUUAAAAAUAAAGGUUCAAAAGUAGGUUUUCACAGCAAUGUGAUAAAAGAACCAUUUCUGAUUUAUUCAAAGAACCUUUCAGUGAACAGUUUUUUAAGGAACCCUUUUUUUUUUCUUAGUUUGAAGAACAUUUCAAGAUUCUAAAGAACAUUUUUUCCACUUUUUAAGAGUGUACUGUAAUCUAUCAAUCAGUGCUAUCAAUCAAAAUUAGAAUUUAACUGAGCGUGUCAAUAAGGGAACACUUUUCUCUUUGUGUCUUAAAGGGUCAUAUGAUGUGAUUUCAAAUGUUCCUUUCUCUUUUUAGUGUUACAAGGUCUUGGUGAAUAAAGAAGAUCUGUGAAGUUGCAAAGAUUAAAGUCUCAAAUCCAAAGAGAUAUUCUAUAUAAAAGUUGAGACUCCUCCACGCCCCCCUGAAACGGCUCGUUCUAACAGCCCCCACAUAUAUACUUCACUGUGGGAAGAUUUGCAUAACACCGCCCAGAUGUUCACGCAAAGAAAGAAGGCAUACCUUUUAUUCUCGUUGUAGUAUUGUUGUUGCCGCCACUGCCAUUUUGUAUAGACGCUGUGUGUUUCACUGUGAAAGCGAAACUACUUUGUUUGGCCUUCCAAAAGAGGAUGAUAUCCACUUCCGUGCUGGUCACUGAGGAAAUACAUCAACUUUGCACUGUGGAUCGCAGAAUUGGCUUUCAUCGUGGACGAAGCGGCGUCCAGCCCGGGGUCGUCACAUGUGGUUGCUGCAAGACCAAGCAUACAGAAAAGCAUAUGUACAUAUUGGACACUUCAGUGGCCUCUUCAAAAAGUGCAAGAGAGAUGACUGACACCAGGUUUAACCAGUUCCAGAGCCAUGAGAAUGUAUCAAUGGUUUUUCAAGCCGCUUCUCACACCAAUGUAAAGCUGACCUGCUCAGGUGACUGAAAACUGCAAACCUUGUAUCAGUAAGUUAUCAGUAUUUGAUUUGGUCAUUUGUUCAACAACAAUUCCAAUUGUAGGUUUUGGUUUACUAACCUCAUUUUUUGGCCUAGCCCCAGCAGUUCCAGAGGGUCCUGAUGAAGACAGCGAUGAUGACGAGCGAUAAAGUGGGGUGUUUAGAGACUGGGAGGAGGCUGAAAGACUUCCUGCUGAAUCCAGCAUUUCUAAAUCAACUUCCUGUUUAGGAAAUGAGUAACACUGUUCUACUUUAAACAUAAAGACACAUACUUAACAAUUGCUGAAUUAAAAUUGUAUUUAUUUUACAUAAUAUUUACUAAAUAAGAAAUAAUUGUAAUAAUAAAAAAAUCUGUAAAAAUAAACUUCUUUUAAAAAAUUAUUUUAUGCAGUCUCCAAACGGUCACUGCUGAAUUCACAAAGUUUGCAAGGUUUGUAAAAAUAAAUGUGCAUUAGAUAUUAUUAAAGACUUUAAAUGAUAAAAAUGCACAUUUGCUGAAUGCUUACAUUUAAAAAAAAAAUGAUGUCAUAAUUUCUGUAUACCAUUUACUUUCUUUUUUUUUAACAGUUCUGUCUAAUAAUUUAUUGUUAAACAGAAAGAUUAAAAUACUAACUAACAUUCUGUCAAAAUGAAAGUUAUGUGCACUGUCAAAAUAAAAGUUUGACAGUGCACAUAACGCUUUCAACAUAAUGGCCUAUGCCAGUCAUUAAACAAAAUACCAAACACUGGCCAAUAUAUUGACCAACCACUAAAGAAUUUUACAUAGAUUUAGUGCUGGUGCAAGAUUUGAGAUGAAAUUAGUGUAUCACUUGCAUGAAAUCUACUGAUUGGUGGCCACUCACAGAGAUGAUCUGCCUCUUUAAAUUGGGCGUACUAUUGAGGGAGGAGCUUAGGGCAUUCUCAAUCUCUUUGUCCAGCUGAUCCAACUUCAUUAUUAACAGAACCAUGGAGUCCAAACGUGACCUUUCCUUCUCCCUCUCCUCCCGUGAGCUCUGAAAUGAGAAAAACAGAUUUUCGUAUCAUCAGAUUUUAUUCAAGAAAUGUAACCUUAAAACCAACACUGACAUUAAUCUGAUCAGUCCCAAUGACAAUUCUUUAAACAUAUGUCACAGCAGACCAAAUCAGUUUUGCUCAUAAGUGCUAUAGUAGUCUGCUACUACUCAUUUGUUUCUGCUGUUAAACAGACCUUUGUGAACUUUGUUCACACUUUCACAAAUAAAAGCAUUCUGUCCAUCUUUUCCUUGGCACUUUAAGUGUUAUUUGCCAUGUGCUUCUGAAAUGUGGAGUCAAGCAUGUAAUGGGUAAUCAAAUGGAAAACUUUUACGCUCACAUCAGAACACAAACUCACACAAGAUCUCACUCACAUCCACAGACAUCCAGACAUGUACAUGCACCAGAGGGAAGGAUCAUAAGGAAUGCUUCUUCAAGGAAUGGUGUGUUUAGCUAGUGGAAGCUGGCAGACAGUAAAGGCUGUUAUUAUCAUGUUCCAGUCAGUUUUAGCCACUCAGAGAGAAAAGAAAAUAGAGAGAGAGGAUGAGAGCGAGAGAGUCUCUCCUCAAUAACUUUAAAUUAGGUCACUGGAACCACAGCACACUCUAAUUUACUGUUUACAUUGUCAUUCAGCAUACAGAAAAGCAUAUGUACAUAUUGGACACUUCAGUGGCCUCUUCAAAAAGUGCAAGAGAGAUGACUGACACCAGGUUUAACCAGUUCCAGAGCCAUGAGAAUGUAUCAAUGGUUUUUCAAGCCGCUUCUCACACCAAUGUAAAGCUGACCUGCUCAGGUGACUGAAAACUGCAAACCUUGUAUCAGUAAGUUAUCAGUAUUUGAUUUGGUCAUUUGUUCAACAACAAUUCCAAUUGUAGGUUUUGGUUUACUAACCUCAUUUUUUGGCCUAGCCCCAG